rnacentral:rRNA from 1 species
UACGCACUGUGCAAACGUUAUUCGGAAUCACUGGGCUUAAAGGGUGUGUAGGCGGCUUGUUAAGUAGGGUGUGAAAUCCCCCGGCUCAACCGGGGAAUUGCGCCCUAAACUGGCGAGCUGGAGUGAGAUAGGGGUGUGUGGAACUUCCAGUGGAGCGGUGAAAUGUGUUGAUAUUGGAAGGAACGCCAGUGGCGAAAGCGACACACUGGACCGUAACUGACGCUAAUGUGCGAAAGCUAGGGGAGCAAACGGG